UCUUAGAAAUCCAUACUUUAUAUGACGUAAAAUAUAACUCGAUAUAACUUCCAAAGUGCCACUACCCCACUUAUAGCGAAUCGCUCUCUCUCGGCCACAAAAAAAUAGUGGUUUUACUUCACAUUUGGUGAGUUUUGUCAUUACUUUGAAUGAAGUUGACCAUUUUACUUCGAAUCAAGUGAGGUUUACUUUAAACCGCAUAAC